rnacentral:tRNA from 1 species
GGGGCUAUAGCUCAGUGGCACAGCAUCUGCCUGGCAAGUGCAAGGCCCUGAGUUCAAUUCCCAGUACCA